AUGGCAGGAUCUAGAUCGAGUGUUCAUGGAGAAAACCCUGGGGAAGAAGAUGCCCCGGUCACACAUACCGAGCUGCAGUGACUCGAGAACAACUUACUCCAAGCCAUGGAAAGGAUGCUACACGAGUGUCCUCCAGUAGGUGGGGAUAGGGUUCGACACCGACAACACCCUAUUGAUCCACUUGAAGAAGUUGGGUAUGAGAAUUCCGUGCAUGUUGCUGUUGACGGUGCCUUGGAGGAUGAUAAUGAUAAUAUCCAACUACAAGGAAUCAUCGUAGCAAUUUCCAAAGGUCGAAGUGAUAAGUAUGGAGUGUCGAACCCACAAGGAGCUAAAGGCAAGAUCAUAUUCUCUCAAGUCCUAUCCGCCACUGAUACGACUCUACGUACACUGAACGUUUGCUUCCAUCUAGAAAUGAGAAAUAAAACUACGUUGUGGUUAUGA
rnacentral:rRNA from 1 species